CCCCACCUUUACCCCAUACUACUGACUAUAUAAACUAGCCUGGAAAAAAUAAAAUUUGCCACUUGAUCAGAAUCCUGUCUUGUGGUCAUUCUCUCUCAUCUCUUGUCUCCAUUCCCCUCCUGGACUUCUUGCUCUAGUGAGGUGCACUCCUCAGCUACAAUCUCCAAGCCAGCUCUCAAGAAGUUCCCAGUUAUGAGAAAAGCAGGAGAGCUUCUAGGGAUUCCACUGAGGAGAAAAAUGGAGAAAGACUAUGGAGAAAAGAGUGGAGUCAAGAGAAAGAAGCAAGCUUUACUAAAGAGAAAGUCUAUGAGAUGGCUAGAAGCUUCUCAAUUUCAGGAGGUCCCAUUUAUUAAUUUCUGAUCUCAGUGUCUGUGCUGCUGGUGUUAUCUUAGGAAGCGGUCUCCUGCACCAAUCCGUUCAAGGGUACCACCUACCUUCUCUUCUCAAUGUGGCUGGAUUUAUGUUGAG
rnacentral:lncRNA from 1 species